rnacentral:SRP_RNA from 1 species
GCCAGGCGUGGUGGUGCGUGCCUGGAGUCCCAGCUACUCAGGAGGCUGAGGCAGGAGGAUCACUUGAGCCCAAGAGAUCUGGGCUGCAGUGAGCUGUAAUUGCACCACUACACUCCAGCCUGGGCGACAGAUGGAGACCCUGUCUCAA